rnacentral:rRNA from 1 species
GACGAACGCUGGCGGCGUGCUUAACACAUGCAAGUCGAGCGGUAAGGCCCUUUCGGGGUACACGAGCGGCGAACGGGUGAGUAACACGUGGGUGACCUGCCCUCAGCUCUGGGAUAAGCCUGGGAAACUGGGUCUAAUACUGGAUAUGACUCCACGGUGCAUGUCGUGGGGUGGAAAGCCUUGUGCGGCUGAGGAUGGGCCCGCGGCCUAUCAGCUUGUUGGUGGGGUGANGGCCUACCAAGGCGACGACGGGUAGCCGGCCUGAGAGGGCGACCGGCCACACUGGGACUGAGACACGGCCCAGACUCCUACGGGAGGCAGCAGUGGGGAAUCUUGCGCAAUGGGCGAAAGCCUGACGCAGCGACGCCGCGUGAGGGAUGACGGCCU